GGCUGGAGUGUGAACAUCAUCGGAUCAACCCAUUAAUGACUUCAUAGCUGACUGAGUAUUAGCAGGUGGGAACAAGUUAGAGAAAGCAGGUCACCAGAGAUGCCCUUGGAGAGUGUAUCGUGUGCCCAAGCCUUCCUCUCUCUGCAGUGCUUCCUCGCUCACUCUGCCUCCUCACGGCCAUAAGAAAACACCUUGCUCAUCACGUGGAACACGCCGAAUCAGCCCGCUGCAGACAGGCAGCCACCUGGUUCCACACUACAAAGAUGCAGAGGACACCGGAACACCAGACCAAGAUACUGAGUCCCGCUGCUCCCCACCAAGAGGUAGGGGCUUCUGAGCCACCAUGCCACUGCUCCUGGACCUGAGGAAGGGGCUUCCCGGCCACCAUCCCUCCCGCUGCUCCCAGCCCACAGGAAAGAGCUUUUGAGCCACCAUCCCUACCGCUGCUCCUGGCCCCUGUCCCACCUCUCCCAGCUCAGAGGAGGUAAUCCCUGCAGGAGCCAACAGCACCCCCCCAGUCGAAAUGAGAAAACACGUAAAUAAGUCUCAAAACCAGACUUCCAGAUCACCUACAGCAACCCCAAAGGGAAAUGAGAUGGAACACUCUGAUACUCAACCACCUGGACCCACUGAACUGGCAACAAAAGGGGAUCUGGAAAAAAUGAAAUCAGAAAUAAUUUCUCAGAUAAUAGGAGAAAUUGUGCCCCUAGUGCAAGACAUGAUUAAUAAAUCUAGAAAGGAGCUCAGGAACAUGAUGGAAUCCCAAAAUGGGAAACAAAUGGAAUCCAUAAAACAGAUACAAAUAGAUUUCCAGGACAUGAAAAACUCCACUGAAAGUCUACACAGCAGAAUGAGCCAAUGUGAGGACAGAAUUUCAGAUAUAGAAGAUAAGAUUGCAAUUAGUGACCAGGAAAAGAAAAAUUGCUUCAAAAUUAUAAGGGAACAUGAGAAAUCAAUCCAGCAGCUGCUAGAUGAUGCAAAGAAUAACAUAAGACUGAUUGGAGUCAAUGAAGAAACAGGAGAGAGUGCAGAUGAC
rnacentral:lncRNA from 1 species